rnacentral:lncRNA from 1 species
CUCACCUGUUGUACCAGUUGAAGAGCAGCCAGUUCACCCCCUCCAGCUGGUACUCCCGCAGUUGGUUGUGGUUCUUGUACUCGUGCGAGGCCUCGAGCUUCUUCCAGGCGCCGGCCUGGGGGCGGGGCUGGCACAGGUGAGGCACAGGUGAGAGAUACAGGUGAGAUAUACAGGUGAGAUAUACAGGUGAGAUAUACAGGUGAGAUAUAGAUCAAAUACAUGUAAAAUAACUCAUACAGGUGAGACACAGGUGAGACUCAGGUGAGACACAGGUGAGAGACAGGUGAAGGACAGGUGAGACACAGGUGAGACACAGGUCAAAUAUAUGUAAAAUAGCUCAUACAGGUGAGACACAGGUAAGUUACAAAUGAGAUUAAAGUGAAACACAGGUGAGAUACAGAUGAGAUAACUCACACAGGUGAGGGACAGGUGAGACACAGGUGAGAUAACUCACGCAGGUGAGAUACAAGUGAGACUCAGGUGAGAUACAGGUGAGAUAUACAGGUGAGAUAACUCACACAAGUGAGAUAUAGGUCAAAUAUACGUAAAAUAACUCAUACAGGUGAGACACAGGUAAGUUACAAAUGAGAUNACAGGUGUGUUACAGGUGUGUCACACACACAGGUGUGCCCAGGUGAGCUCACCUUGCCGUCCUUGCAGUACAUCUCGUACUGCUGGAUCAUCUGCCGGCUGGCCAGGUGUGUCAGUGACCCCACACAGGUGUGUCACAGGUGUGUUACACACACAAUACAGGUGUGUUACACACCCAGGUGUGCCCAGGUGAGCUCACCUUGCCGUCCUUGCAGUACAUCUCGUACUGCUGGAUCAUCUGCCGGCUGGCCAGGUGUGUCAGUGACCCCAUACAGGUAUAUUACAGAUC